AAGUGUUGUAGCUCCUUUAGAAUUUGUCUAGCAGGUUUUAUAGGUUUUGCCCAAAAAUUUCCCAC
rnacentral:snRNA from 1 species